rnacentral:rRNA from 1 species
GAUGAACGCUGGCGGCGUGCUUAACACAUGCAAGUCGAACGAUGAAGCCCAGCUUGCUGGGUGGAUUAGUGGCGAACGGGUGAGUAACACGUGAGUAACCUGCCCUUAACUCUGGGAUAAGCCUGGGAAACUGGGUCUAAUACCGGAUAGGAGCGUCCACCGCAUGGUGGGUGUUGGAAAGAUUUAUCGGUUUUGGAUGGACUCGCGGCCUAUCAGCUUGUUGGUGAGGUAAUGGCUCACCAAGGCGACGACGGGUAGCCGGCCUGAGAGGGUGACCGGCCACACCGGGACUGAGACACGGCCCAGACUCCUACGGGAGGCAGCAGUGGGGAAUAUUGCACAAUGGGCGCAAGCCUGAUGCAGCGACGCCGCGUGAGGGAUGACGGCCUUCGGGUUGUAAACCUCUUUCAGUAGGGAAGAAGCGAAAGUGACGGUACCUGCAGAAGAAGCGCCGGCUAACUACGUG